CGGGGUGUGGUGUAAUGUUUCGCAUCCAAGCCUUGGGAGCUUGUGGUCAGGGUUCGAUUCCCUGCACCCCGACCA
rnacentral:tRNA from 1 species